UCAGUGCUCUGGCUCUAUCGCUGGCAGCAGCUAUGCUGCGAGAGGAAAGUCCGGGCAGUAAUAGGGCGCUCCACUUGUGAAACUGCAAGCUAUCGGUGACGGUAGGCUGUGAGCAGAAGAAAACAACCGCCCCUUUGGGGUAAGGGUGAGAAGGUGAGGUAAGAGCUCACCAGCGUCAUGGUGACAUGGCGGCUGUGUUCGCUGGAGACUGCAAGUUCAAGUAAACCAUCGUCAUGAUAGGGUUGCCCACCCGAAUGCUCUGCAUACGAUGGAGGGUAGAAUGCUUAAGCCAUGCGGUGACGUAUGGAUUAGAUAAAUGAUAGAGCACCCCUCGCUGUCGCGAGAUGCGUGGGGGACAGAACCCGGCUUAUAGGGGCGCUGACGUC
rnacentral:RNase_P_RNA from 1 species